CCUACGGGUGGCAGCAGUGAGGAAUAUUGGUCAAUGGACGAGAGUCUGAACCAGCCAAGUAGCGUGAAGGAUGACUGCCCUAUGGUUUGUAAACUUCUUUUAUAUGGGAAUAAAAUGUUUCACGUGUGGGAUUUUGUAUGUACCUUAUGAAUAAGGAUCGGCUAACUCCGUGCCAGCAGCCGCGGUAAGACGGAGGAUCCGAGCGUUAUCCGGAUUUAUUGGGUUUAAAGGGAGCGUAGGUGGUUUGUUAAGUCAGUUGUGAAAGUUUGCGGCUCAACCGUAAAAUUGCAGUUGAAACUGGCAGUCUUGAGUACAGUAGAGGUGGGCGGAAUUCGUGGUGUAGCGGUGAAAUGCGUAGAGAUCACGAAGAACUCCGAUGGCGAAGGCAGCUCCCUGGACUGCAACUGACACUGAGGCUCGAAAGUGUGGGUGGCAAACAGGAUUAGAUACCCUGGUAGUC
rnacentral:rRNA from 1 species